rnacentral:rRNA from 1 species
GCACAAGCGGUGGAUGAUGUGGUUUAAUUCGAUGCAACGCGAAAACCUUACCCACCUUUGACAUGGCAAGAAUCCUAAAGAGAUUUGGGAGUGCUCGAAAGAGAACCUGCACACAGGUGCUGCAUGGCUGUCGUCAGCUCGUGUCGUGAGAUGUUGGGUUAAGUCCCGCAACGAGCGCAACCCUUGCCAUUAGUUGCUACGAAAGGGCACUCUAAUGGGACUGCCGGUGACAAACCGGAGGAAGGUGGGGAUGACGUCAAGUCCUCAUGGCCCCUAUGGGUAGGGCUUCACACGUCAUACAAUGGUCGGUACAGAGGGUUGCCAACCCGCGAGGGGGAGCUAAUCCCACAAAGCCGAUCGUAGUCCGGAUCGCAGUCUGCAACUCGACUGCGUGAAGUCGGAAUCGCUAGUAAUCGUGGAUCAGCAUGUCACGGUGAAUACGUUCCCGGGUCUU